AUAUCUUUCUCAGUCUUUUGGCUAAAAUCAAGUAUAGUAUAUGUUCUUAUUAAUUAAAUAUUUGAUAAGUGAGCCAUCGGUCUAUUACGAUGUUAAAUUAAUUUUUUAUUGGGAGAGGGUUCACCAUAGUAGUUUGCUACUGGGAUCCUCGUGUGUGUCGCCCUUACGUUGCACCAUAGUAUGGGUUUGAUGCAUCUAAC